GGGGAAUUAGCUCAAGUGGUAGAGCGCUCGCUUAGCAUGUGAGAGGCAGCGGGAUCAAUGUCCACAUUCUCCA
rnacentral:tRNA from 1 species